GAUGAACGCUGGCGGCGUGCCUAAUACAUGCAAGUCGAGCGAACAGACGAGGAGCUUGCUCCUUUGACGUUAGCGGCGGACGGGUGAGUAACACGUGGGUAACCUACCUAUAAGACUGGGAUAACUUCGGGAAACCGGAGCUAAUACCGGAUAAUAUUUCGAACCGCAUGGUUCGAUAGUGAAAGAUGGCUUUGCUAUCACUUAUAGAUGGACCUGCGCCGUAUUAGCUAGUUGGUAAGGUAACGGCUUACCAAGGCAACGAUACGUAGCCGACCUGAGAGGGGGAUCGGCCGCACUGGAAGUGAGACACGGUCCAGACUCCUACGGGAGGCGGCAGUAGGGAGUCUUCCGCAAUGGGCGAAAGCCUGACGGAGCAACGCCGCGUGAGUGAUGAAGGUCUUCGGAUCGUAAAACUCUGUUAUUAGGGAAGAACAAACGUGUAAGUAACUGUGCACGUCUUGACGGUACCUAAUCAGAAAGCCACGGCUAACUACGUG
rnacentral:rRNA from 1 species